rnacentral:rRNA from 1 species
GAGUUUGAUCGUGGCUCAGAUUGAACGCUGGCGGAAUGCUUUACACAUGCAAGUCGAGCGGCAGCGCGGGGCAACCUGGCGGCGAGCGGCGAACGGGUGAGUAAUACAUCGGAACGUGUCCUGUCGUGGGGGAUAACCAGUCGAAAGAUUGGCUAAUACCGCAUGACCUCGUAAGAGAAAAGCGGGGGACCGUAAGGCCUCGCGCGACUGGAGCGGCCGAUGUCGGAUUAGCUAGUUGGCGGGGUAAAAGCCCACCAAGGCGACGAUCCGUAGCUGGUUUGAGAGAACGACCAGCCACACUGGGACUGAGACACGGCCCAGACUCCUACGGGAGGCAGCAGUGGGGAAUUUUGGACAAUGGGGGCAACCCUGAUCCAGCCAUGCCGCGUGUGUGAAGAAGGCCUUCGGUU